AACGUAGGUGGCAAGCGUUGUCCGGAAUUACUAGGCGUAAAGGGCAGGCAGGCGGAUCCAUAAGUUUAUCGUUUAAGGCGUCGGCUUAACCGGCGUAGGGCGGUAGAUACUGUGGAUCUGGAAUGCGGUUGGGGAAGACAGAAUUCCUGGUGUAGCGGUGGAAUGCGCAGAGAUCAGGAGGAAUACCGAAGGCGAAGGCAGUCUUCCAAGCCGUUAUUGACGCUCAACUGCGAAGGUGUGGGUAUCAAACAGGAUUAGAUACCCCCGUAGUCCCUGAGCGGG
rnacentral:rRNA from 1 species